rfam:Dyella jiangningensis strain SBZ 3-12, complete genome.
CCCGUCGAGGGGCGCUGCGACCGGAGCACUGGCGCGAUGGCACAUAGGCUUGUGCCCUCCGUGAUCUCCGGCCAGGCUCGACGGAUUUCCUCUGUAACGGCGCCCGGACAAC